UUAGAACCAGAAACGAAAACUUAGCAGGCCAUUUUAAUUCUAGGUGUGGCUGUUGAUGGAUAAUAGAUUUUAUACUAUUUUUGCCUGGUGUAAUUUGGACCAUGGCAAUGGUUCUUAGAACCAGAAAGAGAAACUCAGCAGCCCAUUUUAAUUCUAGGUGUGGCUGUUGAUGGAUCAUAGAUUUUAUAGUAUUUUUGCCUGGCGUAAUUUGGGCCAUGGCAAUGGUUCUUAGAACCAGAAAGAGAAACUCAGCAGCCCAUUUUAAUUAUAGGUAUGGCUGUUGAUGGAUAAUAGAUUUUAUAAUAUUUUUGCCUGGCGUAAUUUAGGCCAUGGUAAUGGUUCUUAGAACCAGAAAGAAACUCAGGAGACCAUUUUAAUUCUAGGUGUGGCUUUUGAUGGAUCAUAGAUUUUAUACCAUUGUAGCUUCACAGACUGAGGGUAGGAACAAGCCAAAUGUCGUCUUACUGGAAAGAGACGACGAUUCCUUGGCAGAGGAAAGGAAGAAACUAGAAAGAAGAAAAGAAGAAACAAGAGAGCAAGGCCUUCGGUUUUGAUCUGGCCUUCUAUAUCCUUAGGCAUGUACUACACCAUCUAGGAAAACAGAAGAAUCAGUUGUCAGCCUGCAGUGUUGAUGGUGAAAAUGGAAGAGGAAUGAAUAGAAAACAAGAAUGAAUCUGAUUUUCAUCAAGAAUGCUACUUCAUCAAGUAAAUGAAAAUUGACCUGUAGAAGAAUCACACAAAACAUAUGUUAGUCUCAUUAAGACAGCACACCACAUACAUUAAUUCUAGGUGGAACCAGUGAUUGGAAAUAGAUUUUAUAUUUUUCUGCCUGGUAUAAUUUUAGGUGAUGGUUCUUAGAACUAGGGAGAAAAUCUCAGCAGCUUUUUUUUAAUGCUAGGUAUGGCCCAUGAUGUAUAAAAAAUUUCAUAGUUUUCUUGCCUGCUUAGUCCUAGAUCUGGUAAUGGUUCUUAAAACCAGAAAGAAAAUCUCUAUGGACCUUUUCAAUGCAAGCUGUGGCCAUGGAUUACUAAAAUUCUCAUUACUUUUUUGGCCUGGUGUAAUUUUAACCCUGGCUGUGGUUCUUAAGAGUUGAGAGGGCCCCACUAGCCUCUCCCAGUCCCUGAGGAUCAUACUGGAAGGGAAUCCUUCUGGAUCACCCCCCUCCCUACUUUACACCUUUAGUCUAUCAAAUUUCACACACAGCCAAUGAUCAUCAUUCUCAGUGCAGUUGUAGUUUUCUUGCCUGAAAUAAUUUAGCCAUGGCAAUGUUUGUUAGAACAAAACAGACAACUUAACAGCCCCUUUUAAUGUUAGGUGUGGCUGGUGAUUGACAAUAGAUUUUAUUCUUUUCUAGCCAGGUGUAAUUUUGCUUAUGGCAAUGGUUCUUAGAACCAGAAACAAAAGCUUAAGUGGCCCAUUUUAAUGCUAGGUGAGGCCAUUGAGAAAUAAAAGAUUUUAUAGUUUCCAGCUUCACAGACUGAGGGAGGAACAAGUGAAAUCCUGCUGCCAAAUGUCUUGUUCCUGGAAAGAGACAAUGCUUGCUGAGCACAAGAGAGGAAGAAAGAAGAAAAAGAAGAAAAAAAGAAAUGAGAGCAAGAAAAUAUCCACAGCUCAAGCCGCCUUGGCCUUCAGCUGUGAUGUGGCUUCUACACGCUGAGGGGCAUGUACUACACUGUCUUAGAAGACAGAAGAGUCAGUUGUCAGCCUGCAGUGUUGAUGGUGAAAAUGGAAGAGGAAUGGAAAGCAAGAAUGCCUUUUCACGAAGUAAAUCAAAAUGAGCCUGUAGAAAAAUCCCCCAAAGCAUGUCAGUUUCAUUAACAGAGGACACCACACUUUUUAAUGCAAGGUGUGGUCGGUAUUUUAUAAAAGAUUGUAUAGUUUUAUGGUCUGGCAUAAUUUUAGCCAUGACAGUGGUUCUUAAAACCAAGAAGAAAAUAUUUAUGGCCCCAUUUUAAUGGUAGCUGUGACUGUGGAUUAUGGCAAUACUAAUUAGUUUUCAGGCCUGGCGUAAUUUGGGCCAUGGCGAUGGUUCUUAGAACCAGAAAGAAGAUCUCCUCGGCCAUUAUUAAUGCUAGGUGUGGCUGUUGAUAAUAGAUUUUAUACUUUUCUUGCCUGGCAUAAUUUGAGCCAUGCCGAUCGUUCUUAGAACCAGAAUGAAGAACUCAGCAGCCCAUUUUAAUGCUAGGAGUGGCUGUUGAACGAUAAUAGAUUUUAUAGCUUCACAAAGUGAGGGGAGGAACAAGCCAAAUGUCUUCUUCCUGGAAAGAGACAACGAUUCCUGGGCAGAGGAGUGGAAGAAACAAGAGAAAGAAGAAGAAACAAGAGAGCAAGAAAAUAUCCACAGCCCGACCUCUUAAGACUUCGGUUGUGAUCUGGCCUUGAACAAAGUGAGGCAUGUACCACACCAUCUAAGAAGACAGAAGAGUCAGUUGUCAGCCUGCAGUGUUGAUGGUGAAAAUGGAAAGCAAGAAUGAAUAUGAUCUUCAUGAAGACUGCUACUUUAUGAAGUGAAUCAAAACAAGCCUGUAGAAGAAUCCCCCAGAGCAUGUCAGCUUCAUUAACACAGGACACCACACUUUUUAAUGGGAGGUGUGGCUGAUCUUGAUAAAAGAUUGUAUAGUUUUAUGGUCUGGCAUAAUUUUAGCCAUGGCAGUAAUUCUUAAAACCAAGAAGAAAAUCUCUAUGGCCCCAUUUUAACGAUAGGUGUGGCUGUGGAUUGUGGAAAUACCAAUUAGUUUUCUUGGUGUAAUUUUGGCCAUGGUGAAGGUUCUUAGAACCAGAAAGAAAACAUCAACGACCAUUAUUCAUGCUAGGUGUGACUGCUGAUUGGUAAUAGUUUUAUAGUUUCCUUGCCUGGUGUAAUUUUGGCCGUGGCGAUGGUUCUUAGAACCAACAAAAAAAAAAAAACCUGAACAGCCCAUUUUAAUGGUAGGUGUGGCUGUUGAUAAUAAAUUUUUUAUAUAUUUUUUUGCCUGGCGUAAUUUUGGCCAUGCCGAUCGUUCUUAGAACCAGAAUGAAGAACUCAGCAGCCCAUUUUAAUGCUAGGAGUGGCUGUUGAACGAUAAUAGAUUUUAUAGCUUCACAAAGUGAGGGGAGGAACAAGGUCAAAUGUCUUCUUCCUGGAAAGAGACAACGAUUCCUGGGCAGAGGAGUGGAAAUACCAAUUAGUUUUCUUGCUUGGUGUAAUUUUGGCCAUGGCUGGGUUCUUAGAACCAGAAAGAAAACCUAAACGGCCAUUAUUAAUGCUAUCUGCGGCUGUUGAUUGAGAAUAGGAUUUAUAGUUUUCUUGCCUGGUGUAAUUUUGACCGUGGCAAUGGUUCUUAGAACCAGAAUGAAGAACUCAGCAGCCCAUUUUAAUGCUAGCUGUGGCUGUUGAAUCUUUAGCAUUCUGCUAAAAGCCUCUUCCAGUUCCUGAGGAUCACCAAGUGAGUCUCAUACUGAAAGGGAAUCCUUUUGGAUCACCUCCCUCCCACCUUCACACCCUUAGAAAUAAUUCCAGUAACAGCCAGACCUCUUAGAAUCCAAAGUAAACCUUAUUAUGCACUUCAAUACGAGGUAUGGCCAUCAGUCUAUAUAUUAGGAAGUGGUUAGUUCCUAGUCAGAAAAUAAUUCUCUGUGGCCAUUUUUAAUUCUAGUUGUGGCCAUUGAAACUGAGUAGAUCCUUGCCUGGCUUAAUUUAGGCAUGGUGAUGGUCCUUAGAACCAGGAAAAAUAUCAUUGGCUCUUUUUAAGAUAGGAAGAAUUGCGGCAAUAAAGAGGAACAUAGUCCCAAGGCUCCUCUACUUGUUCCAAACUAUUCCGGUCAAAUUAGAGAAAAACUUCUUCACAAAUCUGAAUAAAAUAAUCUCAAAAUUUAUAUGGGAUGGGAAAAAACCAAGGAUAAAUUUAAAAAAUAUUACAGGAUGAUAGAACUAGAGGAGGCUUUGGCGUACCAGCCUGGGAAAAAUAUUAUAAAGCAGCGAGUUUGAUUUGGAUUAAGGAUUGGGUCAAUUUGGAUAAACAAAGAAUAUUGAAAUUGGAAGGCCACGAUUUAUUAAAAGGGUGGCAUGCUUAUCUGUGGAAUAUUGGAAAUAAAACAUACAAACAUUUCAAAAAUCAUAUAAUAAAGAGACUCACUAAUUGGCACCUGGUUGGAAAUUAAAAAUAAACAUUAUAUGAAAGUCCCAGGCUGGAUAUCUACAUUAGAGGCAGCAAUAUAUCCCAAUAUAUCAGCCAUCCAAAAAAUAAUACAAUAUAAAGAUGUCCUGGAUGUACAUGGAAGACUAAAAACACGGCAGGAGCUCAGAGACCAGGGUAUAGAAAUGGACUGGUGGCCUUACCUGUUAAUACAAACCAGAUACAAAAAAGACGAAGAAGGAGGAGUUGAAAUAAAACCUAACCAGUUAGAUAAAUUAUUAGAAACCAAAGAGGGAAAAAUAAUAUCAAAGUUUUACAAAUAUCUAUUAGAAUUCAAUUUGGCAGAAAACAUAGUUAAAGGUCAAAUGAUAGCUUAGGCUAGGAAUAUUGGAAGAAACAUACAAUUGGAAGAAUGGGAAAUGAUAUGGGAAAAUAAUUGUAGAAUAACAAAAGCAACAACAUAUAAAGAGAACCAUUAUAAAAUGUAGUACAGAUGGUAUCUAGCCCCGGCGAGAUUGGCAAAGAUGUCUGCAAAUUUCAACCUGAUAUGCUGGAAAUGUAAACAAAUACAGGGAACCUUUUAUCAUCUCUGGUGGCUUUGCCCAAAAAUUAAGAAAUUUUGGAUAAAAAUUAGAAUCUGGAUAAUAGAAAUAACGGAAGAAGAUAUUGAUUUAAAACCUGAGAUUUUCCUGUUAGGUAUACUCAAAAAAAGUAGUAGAAAGGAAAUAAAGUACAUUACGUUACAUAUAAUCACGGCGGCCAGAUUAACUUUAGCUCAAUCCUGGAAAUCAGAACAGUUGCCAACAGAUCAGCAAAUAAUCCAAAAGAUAUUUAUAUGCGCAGAAAUGGAUAGAUUAACUUUAAAAUUAAAUGAUACGGAAGACUCACAGUAUUUCAAAGUAUGGGACAGAUGGUAUGAUUGGAUUAACCAAUGGGAAAAAAAGUAACGUCAAAUAUAGUAAGAAAUCAAAGGUAACAAAUAUACACCAUCAUUAAGAUAAAAGAA